rnacentral:lncRNA from 1 species
GGGAGCUUCGUUAGCACGUUGUGAACCUUGGCAAGGACGUGAAUUCCACUGCACGACGGCGAGGGGUGAGUUACACGGUGGUGGCGGAUUCCGACUCGGGAAGAUCCAAACCAUGGCGUUUAGGGCAUCUAGGGCUUCCCCGAUGCUUGCGGACGCAAAAGAAAACUGCAGGGAAGAGCCACGGCCUAUAUAGGGACUCAAUUGCCGCGUUGGGAAGAAAAUCCCGGGAGGAUCGGGUUGGGGCGCUGCUUGCCUCGGUUAGGUGUCCUUGCUGGACAUGGCGAAGGAAGAAGAAAGGGGAGGGGACUGACUGGUGGGGCACGGUGUCAGCCCAAGAGGGAGCAAGGAAGGGAGGCGCGCCUGCUGCCUGCUCCUGGCCCGCGCGCUGGGCCGAAGCAAGGGGAGAGGGGGAGAGCCGUGCUGGGCCAAGGGAAGAAACGGGGCUAGGCCGAGAGGGGAAAGAAAGAUGGGCCGCGGGUGGAGAGGAUCUGGGCCACUCAGGUUAGAUGCAGAGAGAGGGAGAGGUUUUCCUUUUCUUUUCUUUUAUUUUAUUUGUUGGUUUCUUUUUAUUUUGAGGUCUUUUCAAAACAGCUUUAAAACAAUUUGAAAAUAUUUUGACUUUGCCCAAAUUCACACAUUACAAAGAAAAUAAAUGCUCCAAAAAUGAAUGCACAAACAAGUUGCUAAAUCCUAUGUUAAAUUUUAUUCAAAUGAAAAAUAAGAUUUCUCUAUAUUUUAUGAACAUAAAAAUGCAAAAUUAAAUCAUUUCCACCUAUUUCAAAAUUUGUAAAUUUUUAGGUGUUACAAGGGUGCACCAUUGGCAUUGGAGCUUGACCAUG